rnacentral:rRNA from 1 species
GAUGAACGCUGGCGGCGUGCCUAAUACAUGCAAGUCGAGCGAACGGACGAGAAGCUUGCUUCUCUGAUGUUAGCGGCGGACGGGUGAGUAACACGUGGAUAACCUACCUAUAAGACUGGGAUAACUUCGGGAAACCGGAGCUAAUACCGGAUAAUAUUUUGAACCGCAUGAUUCAAAAGUGAAAGACGGUCUUGCUGUCACUUAUAGAUGGAUCCGCGCUGCAUUAGCUAGUUGGUAAGGUAACGGCUUACCAAGGCAACGAUGCAUAGCCGACCUGAGAGGGUGAUCGGCCACACUGGAACUGAGACACGGUCCAGACUCCUACGGGAGGCAGCAGUAGGGAAUCUUCCGCAAAGGGCGAAAGCCUGUCGGAGCAACGCCGCGUGAGUGAUGAAGGUCUUCGGAUCGUAAAACUCUGUUAUUAGGGAAGAACAUAUGUGUAAGUAACUGUGCACAUCUUGACGGUACCUAAUCAGAAAGCCACGGCUAACUACGUG